rnacentral:misc_RNA from 1 species
GUGAAGGCUUUCUGAGCUCAUCAAUAGAGUGAGGAAUGAAUAUGUUAAUGGAGUUGUUUGGACUUCGAAAUGAAAUGUGGGUUAGCAGAAAAUACUGUCCUGUGUUUUAAGACGUUGAAACGAAUACUUCUACGUAAUAAUGUUCGGUUUGGUUAAUUUUUGGGGCUUUACCCCGUCUCCUGAUUAUCAAACCAUGUGAGUCAGCUUCAGUUGCAUUUUUGUACAUAGGAAAUAUGAUGCUGUCUUUUUUCACCAUCUUGAUUGCAGGGGUCUCUUUUUGUAUUGGG